rnacentral:misc_RNA from 1 species
UGGCUCCCACAUCGAUGAAGAACGCAGCAAAAUGCGAUAAGUAAUGUGAAUUGCAGAACUCAGUGAAUCAUUGAAUCUUUGAACGCAUCUUGCACUCCAUAGUUUUCUGUGGAGUAUGUCUGUCUGAGUGUCAUGUACUUCUCAACUCUCUGUCUAUUUGCUUUGUUGAAUAUGACAGAAGAGCUUGGAUCAUGAGUGUCUGCUGGACUUGUGUAUCAGCUCACUCUAAACAAAUUAGCAGUCAUUUCUUGCUUUGAUGGUAUUACCCAGCAUAAUAGAUUUUUUCUGCUGGGGAACAUUCAUUACUUGAGUGCCACCAUAUUUAAGAGAUUGCUUCAAAUUCCCACUUGAUAUCAUUUUAAGUGUUAGACCUCAGAUCAGGCAGGACUACCCGCUGA